UUCAGAGACUUUUCUAAUUACUUCAGAAAUAAAGGCCAGCACCUGUGGUUCUAGCCUGUACGCAACCCUCAGUUAGUUACUCAGGAGGCUUGACACCCAGAGGACCUCAGAUUUAAGCCAACCGGCAUGGAAAUGUCCAACAAAAUGUUGGACUGAAGACAAACCUCACUCAAGUGGUAGA